rnacentral:rRNA from 1 species
UGCAAGUCGAACGGAAGGCCCUGCUUUUGUGGGGUGCUCGAGUGGCGAACGGGUGAGUAACACGUGAGUAACCUGCCCUUGACUUUGGGAUAACUUCAGGAAACUGGGGCUAAUACCGGAUAGGAGCUCCUGCUGCAUGGUGGGGGUUGGAAAGUUUCGGCGGUUGGGGAUGGACUCGCGGCUUAUCAGCUUGUUGGUGGGGUAGUGGCUUACCAAGGCUUUGACGGGUAGCCGGCCUGAGAGGGUGACCGGCCACAUUGGGACUGAGAUACGGCCCAGACUCCUACGGGAGGCAGCAGUGGGGAAUAUUGCACAAUGGGCGGAAGCCUGAUGCAGCAACGCCGCGUGCGGGAUGACGGCCUUCGGGUUGUAAACCGCUUUCGCCUGUGACGAAGCGUGAGUGACGGUAAUGGGUAAAGAAGCACCGGCUAACUACGUGCCAGCAGCCGCGGUGAUACGUAGGGUGCGAGCGUUGUCCGGAUUUAUUGGGCGUAAAGGGCUCGUAGGUGGUUGAUCGCGUCGGAAGUGUAAUCUUGGGGCUUAACCCUGAGCGUGCUUUCGAUACGGGUUGACUUGAGGAAGGUAGGGGAGAAUGGAAUUCCUGGUGGAGCGGUGGAAUGCGCAGAUAUCAGGAGGAACACCAGUGGCGAAGGCGGUUCUCUGGGCCUUUCCUGACGCUGAGGAGCGAAAGCGUGGGGAGCGAACAGGCUUAGAUACCCUGGUAGUCCACGCUGUAAACGGUGGGUACUAGGUGUGGGGUCCAUUCCACGGGUUCCGUGCCGUAGCUAACGCUUUAAGUACCCCGCCUGGGGAGUACGGCCGCA